rnacentral:tRNA from 1 species
GCCUGGCUGGCUCAGUCAGUAAAGCGUAUGACUCUUGAUCUUGGGGUGGUGAGUUCAAGUCCACGUUAGGCA